rnacentral:rRNA from 1 species
GACGGAGGAUGCAAGUGUUAUCCGGAAUCACUGGGCGUAAAGCGUCUGUAGGUGGUCAAAUAAGUCAACUGUUAAAUCUUGAGGCUCAACCUCAAAACCGCAGUCGAAACUAUUAGACUAGAGUAUAGUAGGGGUAAAGGGAAUUUCCAGUGGAGCGGUGAAAUGCGUAGAGAUUGGUAAGAACACCGAUGGCGAAGGCACUUUACUGGGCUAUUACUAACACUCAGAGACGAAAGCUAGGGUAGCAAAUGGG